GAAACAAUACUUUAAGAUAAAAGGAUCGAUUUGCAUUUGAUUAUUGGGUGAAUCCCUUGUUUCU
rnacentral:tRNA from 1 species